rnacentral:rRNA from 1 species
AAACUUUCAACAACGGAUCUCUUGGUUCUGGCAUCGAUGAAGAACGCAGCGAAAUGCGAUAAGUAAUGUGAAUUGCAGAAUUCAGUGAAUCAUCGAAUCUUUGAACGCACAUUGGGCCCGCUGGAAUUCCAGCGGGCAUGCCUGUUCGAGCGUCAUUU